AUUGAACGCUGGCGGCAUGCCUUACACAUGCAAGUCGAACGGCAGCACGGGGGCAACCCUCGGUGGCGAGUGGCGAACGGGUGAGUAAUGCAUCGGAACGUGCCCCGUAGCGGGGGAGUAACCAGUCGAAAGACUGGCUAAUACCGCAUACGCUCCACGGAGGAAAGCAGGGGAUCGCAAGACCUUGCACUAUGGGAGCGGCCGAUGCCCGAUUAGCUAGUUGGGAGGUAAAGGCUCACCAAGGCGACGAUCGGUAGCUGGUUUGAGAGAACGACCAGCCACACUGGGAC
rnacentral:rRNA from 1 species